rnacentral:rRNA from 1 species
GACGAACGCUGGCGGCGUGCCUAACACAUGCAAGUCGAACGGAACUGUUUUGAAAGAUUUCUUCGGAAUGAAUUUGAUUUAGUUUAGUGGCGGACGGGUGAGUAACGCGUGAGUAACCUGCCUUCAAGAGGGGGAUAACAUUUUGAAAAGAAUGCUAAUACCGCAUGACAUAUCGGAAUCACAUGAUUUUGAUAUCAAAGAUUUUAUCGCUUGAAGAUGGACUCGCGUCCGAUUAGUUAGUUGGUGAGGUAACGGCUCACCAAGACCGCGAUCGGUAGCCGGACUGAGAGGUUGAACGGCCACAUUGGGACUGAGUCACGGCCCAGACUCCUACGGGAGGCAGCAGUGGGGGAUAUUGCGCAAUGGGGGCAACCCUGACGCAGCAACGCCGCGUGAAGGAUGAAGGUUUUCGGAUUGUAAACUUCUUUUAUUAAGGACGAAAAAUGACGG